UACGUAGGUGGCAAGCGUUGUCCGGAAUUAUUGGGCGUAAAGGGCUCGUAGGCGGUCCGUCACGUCGGGAGUGAAAACUCGGGGCUCAACCCCGAGCCUGCUUUCGAUACGGGCGGACUAGAGGUAGGUAGGGGAGAACGGAAUUCCUGGUGUAGCGGUGGAAUGCGCAGAUAUCAGGAGGAACACCGGUGGCGAAGGCGGUUCUCUGGGCCUUACCUGACGCUGAGGAGCGAAAGCGUGGGGAGCGAACAGG
rnacentral:rRNA from 1 species